rnacentral:rRNA from 1 species
GACGAACGCUGGCGGCGUGCCUAAUACAUGCAAGUAGAACGCUGAAGGAGGAGCUUGCUCUUCUGGAUGAGUUGCGAACGGGUGAGUAGCGCGUAGGUAACCUGCCUGGUAGCGGGGGAUAACUAUUGGAAACGAUAGCUAAUACCGCAUAAGAGUAGAUGUUGCAUGACAUUUACUUAAAAGGUGCAAUUGCAUCACUACCAGAUGGACCUGCGUUGUAUUAGCUAGUUGGUGGGGUAACGGCUUACCAAGGCGACGAUACAUAGCCGACCUGAGAGGGUGAUCGGCCACACUGGGACUGAGACACGGCCCAGACUCCUACGGGAGGCAGCAGUAGGGAAUCUUCGGCAAUGGACGGAAGUCUGACCGAGCAACGCCGCGUGAGUGAAGAAGGUUUUCGGAUCGUAAAGCUCUGUUGUAAGAGAAGAACGAGUGUGAGAGUGGAAAGUUCACACUGUGACGGUAUCUUACCAGAAAGGGACGGCUAACUACGUG